GACGAACGCUGGCGGCGUGCUUAACACAUGCAAGUCGAACGGAAAGGCCCUGCUUUUGUGGGGUGCUCGAGUGGCGAACGGGUGAGUAACACGUGAGUAACCUGCCCUUGACUUUGGGAUAACUUCAGGAAACUGGGGCUAAUACCGGAUAGGAGCUCCUGCUGCAUGGUGGGGGUUGGAAAGUUUCGGCGGUUGGGGAUGGACUCGCGGCUUAUCAGCUUGUUGGUGGGGUAGUGGUUUACCGAGGCUUUGACGGGUAGCCGGCCUGGGAGGGUGACCGGGCACAUGGGGACUGAGGUACGGCCCAGACUGCUACGGGAGGCAGCAGUGGGGAGUAUUGCACAGUGGGGGGAAGCCUGAUGCGGCGACGCCGGGGGCGGGAUGACGGCCUUCGGGUUGUAAACCGCUUUCGCCUGUGACGAAGCGUGAGUGACGGUAAUGGGUAAAGAAGCACCGGCUAACUACGUG
rnacentral:rRNA from 1 species